GUUUCCUACGGGAGGCAGCAGUGGGGAAUAUUGCACAAUGGGGGAAACCCUGAUGCAGCAACGCCGCGUGAGUGAGGAAGUAUUUCGGUAUGUAAAGCUCUAUCAGCAGGGAAUAGAAAAGAAGGUACCUGAAAAAGAAGCCCCGGCUAACUACGUGCCAGCAGCCGCGGUAAUACGUAGGGGGCAAGCGUUAUCCGGAUUUAUUGGGUGUAAAGGGCGUGUAGGCGGGAGCGCAAGUCAGAUGUGAAAACUCAGGGCUCAACCCUGAGCCUGCAUUUGAAACUGUGUUUCUUGAGUGCUGGAGG
rnacentral:rRNA from 1 species